AGAGUUUGAUCAUGGCUCAGGAUGAACGCUGGCGGCGUGCCUAACACAUGCAAGUCGAGCGAUUCUCUUCGGAGAAGAGCGGCGGACGGGUGAGUAACGCGUGGGUAACCUGCCCUGUACACACGGAUAACAUACCGAAAGGUAUGCUAAUACGAGAUAAUAUGCUUUUAUCGCAUGGUAGAAGUAUCAAAGCUCCGGCGGUACAGGAUGGACCCGCGUCUGAUUAGCUAGUUGGUAAGGUAACGGCUUACCAAGGCGACGAUCAGUAGCCGACCUGAGAGGGUGAUCGGCCACAUUGGAACUGAGACACGGUCCAAACUCCUACGGGAGGCAGCAGUGGGGAAUAUUGCACAAUGGGCGAAAGCCUGAUGCAGCAACGCCGCGUGAGCGAUGAAGGCCUUCGGGUCGUAAAGCUCUGUCCUCAAGGAAGAUAAUGACGGUACUUGAGGAGGAAGCCCCGGCUAACUACGUGCCAGCAGCCGCGGUAAUACGUAGGGGGCUAGCGUUAUCCGGAAUUACUGGGCGUAGAGGGUGCGUAGGUGGUUUCUUAAGUCAGAGGUGAAAGGCUACGGCUCAACCGUAGUAAGCCUUUGAAACUGGGAAACUUGAGUGCAGGAGAGGAGAGUGGAAUUCCUAGUGUAGCGGUGAAAUGCGUAGAUAUUAGGAGGAACACCAGUUGCGAAGGCGGCUCUCUGGACUGUAACUGACACUGAGGCACGAAAGCGUGGGGAGCAAACAGGAUUAGAUACCCUGGUAGUCCACGCCGUAAACGAUGAGUACUAGCUGUCGGAGGUUACCUCCUUCGGUGGCGCAGCUAACGCAUUAAGUACUCCGCCUGGGAAGUACGCUCGCAAGAGUGAAACUCAAAGGAAUUGACGG
rnacentral:rRNA from 1 species